rnacentral:rRNA from 1 species
CAACAGGGAUUGCCCUAGUAACGGCGAGUGAAGCGGCAACAGCUCAAAUUUGAAAUCUGGCUCUUUCAGAGUCCGAGUUGUAAUUUGCAGAGGGCGCUUUGGCUUUGGCAGCGGUCCAAGUUCCUUGGAACAGGACGUCACAGAGGGUGAGAAUCCCGUACGUGGUCGCUAGCUAUUGCCGUGUAAAGCCCCUUCGACGAGUCGAGUUGUUUGGGAAUGCAGCUCUAAAUGGGAGGUAAAUUUCUUCUAAAGCUAAAUAUUGGCCAGAGACCGAUAGCGCACAAGUAGAGUGAUCGAAAGAUGAAAAGCACUUUGGAAAGAGAGUCAAACAGCACGUGAAAUUGUUGAAAGGGAAGCGCUUGCAGCCAGACUUGCUUGCAGUUGCUCAUCCGGGCUUUUGCCCGGUGCACUCUUCUGCAGGCAGGCCAGCAUCAGUUUGGGCGGUGGGAUAAAGGUCUCUGUCACGUACCUCUCUUCGGGGAGGCCUUAUAGGGGAGACGACAUACCACCAGCCUGGACUGAGGUCCGCGCAUCUGCUAGGAUGCUGGCGUAAUGGCUGUAAGCGGCCCGUCUUGAAACACGGACCAAGGAGUCUAACAUCUAUGCGAGUGUUUGGGUGUCAAGCCCGAGCGCGUAAUGAAAGUGAACGGAGGUGGGAACCCGCAAGGGCGCACCAUCGACCGAUCCUGAAGUUUACGGAAGGAUUUGAGUAAGAGCAUGGCUGUUGGGACCCGAAAGAUGGUGAACUAUGCUUGAAUAGGGUGAAGCCAGAGGAAACUCUGGUGGAGGCUCGCAGCGGUUCUGACGUGCAAAUCGAUCGUCAAAUUUGGGCAUAGGGGCGAAAGACUAAUCGAA